GUACCCAGCCUAGAGCGAACGGAGAAGAUUUCUUUCUGAAAUGCAGACUUCAGGAACAGCAGGUCCAGAGGAGACCAAGUGCUUUCUAUGUUUGCAUGUGUAACCCCUGGGUCUCCCUGUUAGGGGAGCCUGAGAUCCACCCGGGAGCAAAUCAUCUUGGCACCGUCCCCAGCCAAGGUUGACAUGGCAAUGACUCAGCUUACCCAGGACAAUGCAGACUUCGCCACCCGAGAUCGUUACCACCGCUCUUCCUUCCUGAGUCGGGAACAGCUGAUGCCUCCCUACUAGACCCUCGCUGGAGCCCUCCUUUCUAGAAGCUGCUGUGGAGCUGAGGGACCCAAACCUCAGAACCUUUGGAAGUUGCUUCUACCAAUAAGAAAUCCCAAGACUGGUCUUCCCACCACAGCCUUGGACACCGGAAAUCACAUUCCAGACACUAGGCAUGGCCAUGGCUUCCACGUGCUUGAGGAGCCCACAGGCCACCAGGAUAAUGUAAAAAAACAAAAUGAGAGUUCUUAUUCUAAGAGCCAUAAUAAAUACUUCUUUUUAA
rnacentral:lncRNA from 1 species